rnacentral:rRNA from 1 species
AUUGAACGCUGGCGGCAUGCCUUACACAUGCAAGUCGAACGGCAGCACGGGUGCUUGCACCUGGUGGCGAGUGGCGAACGGGUGAGUAAUACAUCGGAACGUACCUUAUCGUGGGGGAUAACGCAGCGAAAGCUGUGCUAAUACCGCAUACGCCCUGAGGGGGAAAGCGGGGGAUCGAAAGACCUCGCGCGAUUAGAGCGGCCGAUGCCUGAUUAGCUUGUUGGUGGGGUAAAAGCCCACCAAGGCGACGAUCAGUAGCUGGUCUGGGAGGACGAUCAGCCACACGUGGACUGGGACACGGCCCAGACUCCUACGGGAGGCAGCAGUGGGGAAUUUUGGACAAGGGGGGCAACCCUGAUCCAGCAAUGCCGCGUGAGUGAAGAAGGCCUUCGGGUUGUAAAGCUCUUUUGUCAGGGAAGAAACACCGGCUCUAACACAGUCCGGGAAUGACGGUACCUGAAGAAUAAGCACCGGCUAACUACGUGCCAGCAGCCGCGGUAA